UGGUAACUCCACCACCGUUGGCGUGUGUUGUACUGCCAGCGGUCGAGGAGUUCCUUAA
rnacentral:pre_miRNA from 1 species